AUUGAACGCUGGCGGCAUGCCUUACACAUGCAAGUCGAACGGCAGCACGGGAGCAAUCCUGGUGGCGAGUGGCGAACGGUGAGUAAUAUAUCGGAACGUGCCCAGUCGUGGGGAUAACGUAGCGAAAGCUACGCUAAUACCGCAUACGAUCUACGGAUGAAAGCGGGGGAUCGCAAGACCUCGCGCGAUUGGAGCGGCCGAUAUCAGAUUAGGUAGUUGGUGAGGUAAAGGCUCACCAAGCCGACGAUCUGUAGCUGGUCUGAGAGGACGACCAGCCACACUGGGACUGAGACACGGCCCAGACUCCUACGGGAGGCAGCAGUGGGGAAUUUUGGACAAUGGGCGGCAAGCCUGAUCCAGCAAUGCCGCGUGCAGGAUGAAGGCCUCGGUUGU
rnacentral:rRNA from 1 species